rnacentral:piRNA from 1 species
UAGAAAAGUAUGGAGAAAUAAAUGACCAAU